GCAUAUCAAUAAGCGGAGGAAAAGAAACCAACAGGGAUUGCCCCAGUAACGGCGAGUGAAGCGGCAACAGCUCAAAUUUGAAAUCUGGCCCUUUCGGGUCCGAGUUGUAAUUUGUAGAGGAUGCUUUUGGCAAGGCGCCGCCCGAGUUCCCUGGAACGGGACGCCACAGAGGGUGAGAGCCCCGUCUGGCUGGCCGCCGAGCCUCUGUAAAGCUCCUUCGACGAGUCGAGUAGUUUGGGAAUGCUGCUCAAAAUGGGAGGUAUAUGUCUUCUAAAGCUAAAUAUUGGCCAGAGACCGAUAGCGCACAAGUAGAGUGAUCGAAAGAUGAAAAGCACCUUGAAAAGAGGGUUAAAUAGUACGUGAAAUUGUUGAAAGGGAAGCGCUUGUGACCAGACUUGGGCGCGGCGGAUCAUCCGGGGUUCUCCCCGGUGCACUUCGCCGCGUCCAGGCCAGCAUCAGUUCGCCGCGGGGGAAAAAGGCUUCGGGAACGUGGCUCCCCUGGGAGUGUUAUAGCCCGUUGCAUAAUACCCUGCGGUGGACUGAGGACCGCGCAUCUGCAAGGAUGCUGGCGUAAUGGUCACCAGCGACCCGUCUUGAAACACGGACCAAGGAGUCGUCUUCGUAUGCGAGUGUUCGGGUGUCAAACCCCUACGCGUAAUGAAAGUGAACGCAGGUGAGAGCUUCGGCGCAUCAUCGACCGAUCCUGAUGUUCUCGGAUGGAUUUGAGUAAGAGCAUACGGGGCCGGACCCGAAAGAAGGUGAACUAUGCCUGUAUAGGGUGAAGCCAGAGGAAACUCUGGUGGAGGCUCGCAGCGGUUCUGACGUGCAAAUCGAUCGUCAAAUAUGGGCAUGGGGGCGAAAGACUAAUCGAACCUUCUAGUAGCUGGUUUCCGCGA
rnacentral:rRNA from 1 species